CGGACCUGUCCUGUUUAAUAACGCUUCGGUUUUACAGGACGCGUCUGUUGAAUUGGCUUUCAACAUUUGGAAAUGGAAGUAAUCUUCACAUUAUUUAAAGCCAAAAAAGAGCGAGGAUAUUGAGUCACUAUAUCAUAACGUUGUGUUCAUUGCUUGUGACGCUGUAAAUGUCGUCCUGUAAACACAAAGGCAGUGUCGCUAUUAACAAAGUUCCCCAAAACGUCGUGGUCGGAACCAGCAAAAUGUAAUGCUGUCGACUCAACAACGUGAACCUAUGGUAUUAUACCACGGCUAGAAUAGCCACCGUUGUCGUUUACGACUACUGCACCGCUCCAGCCUUCCUAGUUGCCUAGGGCUUGGACGGAAACCACAACCCAUUGACCCGGCGUUCCCCGAUACGUACCAGAACCCCGGCGCUGCCAUAUAGGGAAGACCCCGCAGCCGCCACCGUGUCCAGGGGAGUAUUAACUACGGAAGUGAAAUCAGACUGAAAGUUAGGGCCCUUCGAACCACGGUUAUUAAAUUUUUAAAUAAACACUUUUUAUUUAUUUGUUGUUGACUAAUCGUAUUUACUUGCCACAUCUUGGGUACGAACGUCUCAGUAUGACGUUAUUAUUUUGUUUUUACUAUGUUGUUUUAAGUGAAUUUAAUGAUUAAACCACUUCUAUUAUUGACAUAAUCUCAAAGUAAUAUGUGCAAAGUACGAAAUCGACAGUAUAAACAAGGUAUAAACACGUGUUGAUGUUGCAAUUAAUUCCGCUCGAAAUGAUCACAAAAGCGUUGGUAACUGCGUUAGUAUUAUAUGUAUAUCAGCCCAUUCACAAAUAAGCAUUAAAUAUAAAAAAAAGCAUUAUACAAAAUAUGUAUAUUAUAAUCUCGCGUCAAAGUCGUUCAACAUGUCUGAUUUUCAUUAAUCAAAGUGCACAACAUUGUUCCAAUAAUGCAACUGUUUGGCCACAAGGAUCAGCAGCGAAGACUAUCGGUGAUGGCGAAGGCCACGCGCAGCUUGACCCACACAAUAGGUUUCCAUAAUUAACUAAAUGAAGACCGACAAUCACCAGAAGUGCUCCCUCAGCCGAACAAAGGGCAGACAAAGAUGAUGCUCGGCCAAUUUAUGCGAAUAAUGGGACGAGCCUGUUCGCCAUUUGUAUGUGAAGGAAAUACACCGCCUAUUGUGCUUGGGAUUUUUUGUUCAACUUCGGGUGGAAUUAAUUGUGCCAGCUUAGUUUACAGUGCGUAUGAAUAGUGACGGUAGGCGUCGCUUUGUGCUCCGGUCUAUGAAUAUGUUAUGGCAGCACCGCCGAGGACGUUUCUUCACGUCUCCCAUUGUUAGCCCGCGGAGUAGUGAAUUCUGCGAACUGCUCAAUCGAUGUGCAAAUCCACAAAAACUUUCGCUUCACUCUAUUAAAGCAUAUUAUAGGCGAUGAGUAUAAAUCCCAGAUUACAAAACUGUAUCUUAGGAAAAUAAUUGUAUUAUCACCAUUAAAAUACGUCAAAGCUAAAUAGAAGUGGGAUAUCAAGCAACCGUUGUCGAAAACAAUUGACUCGCUGGAGUGAUUAAGAAAAUCACGUUCGAUUGUAUUCGGUCGGUUAAUGAAGUCGCUUUGUGGAGUCGCUCCAUUAACGGGCGCGCGCCCCGUGUGUAUCUCAUUGUGGCCAGACCCAGUGACCUAGUGCUGUGUCGGACGUCGAGUGCCGAACGCCGGGGCUCGGCGUAAGUUUCUUCGAUGCUUCAGGCAUUGCGUUCUGUUCCCUUGUGUUGAACAUAAAGCAUAGAGUUGAUGAUUAUUUAUUGCUUAAGUAAUCAAUUUCAGAAUGGCCCGAACUCGCACGUAGACAUGAUUAGGUAGUAUUUUAGUAAACCUUUCAUUGGUUUACAUUAUACAAACCAUUAACAUCACUGUAAUGUAACAUAUGUUUCAUAAUUUUAGGCUAAAUUUUACAUUCAAAGCAAGAAUAUAGAAUCCUUACAAAUCUAAUACAGGCACAAGACAUAACUAAAUUACUUACGGUUAAGUCUGCCGGAAAACAAAUUGGACACCUCCGAAAUGAGCGGAUGAGGCUUAUCGUUGUCCGGCGCCGCACGAGGCUCAAGCCGUCAGCCAUCGAUCAAUCAGCGCUUGUGUCGCAUUUGCCCUUUUCCCGAUCAUAUCUCCGAUUGGUCGUCGGUAUCGGCUCACUUAUUUGAAAAGUUUUGACUUGAAGUAAUGUAUACCGUUAAAUAAUGUACACGUUAACUAUGUAUUAAAUUCAAAUUCUGUAAAUAAUUAAAUAGCACUUCGU